UACGAAGGGGGCUAGCGUUGCUCGGAAUCACUGGGCGUACAGGGUGCGUAGGCGGGUCUUUAAGUCAGGGGUGAAAUCCUGGAGCUCAACUCCAGAACUGCCUUUGAUACUGAGGAUCUUGAGUUCGGGAGAGGUGAGUGGAACUGCGAGUGUAGAGGUGAAAUUCGUAGAUAUUCGCAAGAACACCAGUGGCGAAGGCGGCUCACUGGCCCGUAACUGACGCUGAGGCACGAAAGCGUGGGGAGCAAACAGG
rnacentral:rRNA from 1 species